rnacentral:rRNA from 1 species
CCUACGGGUGGCAGCAGUGGGGAAUAUUGCACAAUGGGGGAAACCCUGAUGCAGCGACGCCGCGUGAGUGAAGAAGUAAUUCGUUAUGUAAAGCUCUAUCAGCAGGGAAGAAAAUGACGGUACCUGAGUAAGAAGCCCCGGCUAACUACGUGCCAGCAGCCGCGGUAAUACGUAGGGGGCAAGCGUUAUCCGGAUUUACUGGGUGUAAAGGGAGCGUAGACGGCAGUGCAAGUCUGGAGUGAAAGGCGGGGGCUCAAGCCCCGGACUGCACUGGAAACUGUACGGCUGGAGUGCAGGAGAGGGAAGCGGAAUUCCUAGUGUAGCGGUGAAAUGCUUAGAUAUUAGGAGGAACACCAGUCGCGAAGGCGAGUUACUGGACUGUAACUGACGUUGAGGCUCGAAAGCGUGGGGAGCAAACAGGAUUAGAUACUCGAGUAGUC